rnacentral:rRNA from 1 species
UAGGGAAUCUUCGGCAAUGGACGAAAGUCUGACCGAGCAACGCCGCGUGAGUGAAGAAGGUUUUCGGAUCGUAAAACUCUGUUGUUAGAGAAGAAAAGGACGUUAGUAACUGAACGUCCCCUGACGGUAUCUAACCAGAAAGCCACGGCUAACUACGUGCCAGCAGCCGCGGUAAUACGUAGGUGGCAAGCGUUGUCCGGAUUUAUUGGGCGUAAAGCGAGCGCAGGCGGUUUCUUAAGUCUGAUGUGAAAGCCCCCGGCUCAACCGGGGAGGGUCAUUGGAAACUGGGAGACUUGAGUGCAGAAGAGGAGAGUGGAAUUCCAUGUGUAGCGGUGAAAUGCGUAGAUAUAUGGAGGAACACCAGUGGCGAAGGCGGCUCUCUGGUCUGUAACUGACGCUGAGGCUCGAAAGCGUGGGGAGCAAACAGG